CGGGCAUUAAAUGUGCGUUUAAAGUAUUUAUACAAUAUAAAGUUCUGGUUUAUACUCUUCCUAGAAUUUUAAUAAGAAGCUAUUUAUUAUUCAUAAUAGGCCAAUGAAAGAAUUUAAUUUUGAUUGACGUCUUGGAAUACACUCACCAUAAGGAAAUAUUUUUUUACCGAUGGCUAUUAGUGACGGCAAUUUAUUUUGACUUAUACUUAUUUUAGAUUUUCAAUAAAAAGUUAUUUAUUAUUCAUGAUAGGCCAAUGAAAGAAUUU
rnacentral:lncRNA from 1 species